rnacentral:rRNA from 1 species
GACGAACGCUGGCGGCGUGCUUAACACAUGCAAGUCGAACGGGCCUUGUCCCCUUUUUUUUUGGGGGUGGGGUUAGUGGCGAACGGGUGAGUAACACGUGAGUAACCUGCCCCUCACUUCUGGAUAACCGCUUGAAAGGGUGGCUAAUACGGGGUGUUCUGGCCUGCUCGCAUGGGGGGGUUUGGAAAGAUUCGACCGGUUUUGGUUGUUUUGGUGGGGGGUGGGCUCGGGGCCUAUCAGCUUGGUGGUGGGGGGAUGGCCUGCCAAGGCUUUGACGGGUAGCCGGCCUGAGAGGGUGGGCGGUCACACUGGGACUGAGACACGGCCCAGACUCCUACGGGAGGCAGCAGUGGGGAAUAUUGCACAAUGGGCGCAAGCCUGAUGCAGCGACGCCGCGUGAGGGGUGGAGGCCUUCGGGUUGUGAACCUCUUUCGCCAGUGAAGAAGGUCCUGCUCUUUGUGGUGGGGUUGACGGUAGCUGGGUUAAUGAAGCGCCGGCUAACUACGUG